GACGAACGCUGGCGGCGUGCUUAACACAUGCAAGUCGAACGGAAAGGCCCUGCUUUUGUGGGGUGCUCGAGUGGCGAACGGGUGAGUAACACGUGAGUAACCUGCCCUUGACUUUGGGAUAACUUCAGGAAACUGGGGCUAAUACCGGCUAGGAGCUCCUGCUGCAUGGUGGGGGUUGGUAAGUUUCGGCGGUUGGGGAUGGACUCGCGGCUUAUCAGCUUGUUGGUGGGGUAGUGGCUUACCAAGGCUUUGACGGGUAGCCGGCCUGAGAGGGUGACCGGCCACAAUGGGCCUGCGAUAAGGCCCAGACGACUACGGGAGGCAGUAGGGGGGAAUAUUACACAGUGGGAGGAAGCCUGAUGCAGAAACGCCGCGUGCGGGAUGACGUCUUGCUGGUUGUAAACAGCUGCCGCCUGUGACGAAGCGUGAGUGACGGUAAUGGGUAAAGAAGCACCGGCUAACUACGUG
rnacentral:rRNA from 1 species